AUUGAACGCUGGCGGCAUGCUUUACACAUGCAAGUCGAACGGUAACAGGCCGCAAGGUGCUGACGAGUGGCGAACGGGCGAGUAAUGCAUCGGAACGUGCCCAGUCGUGGGGGAUAACGCAGCGAAAGCUGCGCUAAUACCGCAUACGAUCUCUGGAUGAAAGCGGGGGACCGAAAGGCCCCGCGCGAUUGGAGCGGCCGAUGUCAGAUUAGGUAGUUGGUGGGGUAAAGGCCCACCAAGCCAACGAUCUGUAGCUGGUCUGAGAGGACGACCAGCCACACUGGGACUGAGACACGGCCCAGACUCCUACGGGAGGCAGCAGUGGGGAAUUUUGGACAAUGGGCGCAAGCCUGAUCCAGCAAUGCCGCGUGCAGGAAGAAGGCCUUCGGGUUGUAAACUGCUUUUGUACGGAACGAAACGGUCCGGGUUAAUACCCUGGGCUAAUGACGGUACCGUAAGAAUAAGCACCGGCUAACUACGUGCCAGCCGCCGCGGUAAUAC
rnacentral:rRNA from 1 species